UACGGAGGGGGCUAGCGUUGUUCGGAAUUACUGGGCGUAAAGCGCGCGUAGGCGGCUUUGUAAGUUAGAGGUGAAAGCCCAGGGCUCAACCCUGGAAUUGCCUUUAAGACUGCAUCGCUUGAACAUCGGAGAGGUAAGUGGAAUUCCGAGUGUAGAGGUGAAAUUCGUAGAUAUUCGCAAGAACACCAGUGGCGAAGGCGGCUCACUGGCCCGAUACUGACGCUGAGGCACGAAAGCGUGGGGAGCAAACAGG
rnacentral:rRNA from 1 species